CAGCCGCCGCGGUAAUCCGUAGGGUGCGAGCGUUAAUCGGAAUUACUGGGCGUAAGGCGUGCGCAGGCGGUUGUGUAAGACAGGUGUGAAAUCCCCGGGCUUAACCUGGGAACUGCGCUUGUGACUGCACAGCUAGAGUAUGGCAGAGGGGGGUGGAAUUCCACGUGUAGCAGUGAAAUGCGUAGAGAUGUGGAGGAACACCGAUGGCGAAGGCAGCCCCCUGGGCCAAUACUGACGCUCAUGCACGAAAGCGUGGGGAGCAAACAGGAUUAGAUACCCCGGUAGUCCCUGUCUCUUAUAC
rnacentral:rRNA from 1 species